AGUUUGAUUCUGGCUCAGAUUGAACGCUGGCGGGAUGCUUUACACAUACCGAGUCAGACAGCCAACACGGACUUCCGGUCUGGUGGCGAGUGGCGAACGGGUGAGUAAUGUAUCGGAACGUGCCUAGUAGCCCGGGGAUAACUACGCGAAAGCGUAGCUAAUGUUCCGUACAUGCGCCCUUCCGGGGAAAGCGGGGGACCUUCGGGCCUCGCACUAUUAGAGCGGCCGAUAUCAGUUGGCUGGUUGGUGGGGUAACGGCUACCGACGACGAUCCGUAGCUGGUUUGAGAGGACGACCACAGGACGGACACGGCCCAGACUCCUACGGGAGGCAGCAGUGGGGAAUUUUGGACAAUGGGGGAAACCCUGAUCAACCAUCCCCGUGCGAUGAAGGCCCUUCGGGUUGUAAGCACUUUUGGCGGAAAACGGCACGGGAUAUUACCCCCGUACAACUGACGGUACCUACAAAAUAGCACCGGCUAACUACGUGCCAGCAGCCGCGGUAAUACGUAGAGGGUGCAAGCGUUAAUCGGAAUUACGGGCGUAAAGCGUACACAAACCGGUUCCAGAAGAAAGAUGUGAAAUCCCAGGCUUAACUUUGGAACUGCAUUUUAACUACCGAACUAGAGUGUGUCAGAGGAGGUGAAUUCCGCGUGUAGCAGUGAAAUGCGUAGAUAUGCGGAGAACACCGAUGGCGAAAGGCAACCUCCUGGGAUAACGCGACGCUCUACAUGCACGAAAGCAGUAGGGGAGCAAACAGGAUUAGAUACCCUGUUAGUCCCGCCUAAACGAUGUCAACUAGCUGUUGGGGCCCCUUCGGGCCUUGGUAGCGCAGCUAACGCGUGAAGUUGACCGCCUGGGAGGCGGUCGCAAGAUUAAAACUCAAAGGAAUUGACGGGGACCCGCACAAGCGGUGGAUGAUGUGGAUUAAUUCGAUGCAACGCGAAAACCUUACCUACCCUUGACAUGUCUGGAAUCCCAGAGAAAGAGAUUUGGGAGUGCUCGCAAGAAGAACCGGAACACAGGUGCUGCAUGGCUGUCGUCAGCUUAGUGUCGUGAGAUGUUGGGUUAAAUUAUAACGAGCGCAAGCCGCUGUAUUGAGAUUUGCUACGAAGAACCUCUGGCCGGACUGCCGGUGACAAACCGGAGGAAGGUGGAGAUCAGCAUCGAUCCUCAUGGCCCUUAUGGUAGGGCUUCACACGUCAUACAAUGGUCAGGACAGGGUCGCCAACCCGCGAGGAACAAUCCCAGAAACCCGAUCGUAGUCAGAUCGCAGUCUGCAACUCGACUGCGUGAAGUCAGAAUUAGUAAUCGCGGAUCAACAUGUCGCGGUGGGCGUUCGGGUCUUGUAUACACACCGCCCGUCACACCAUGGGAGUGGGUUUGCCAGAAGUAGUUAACAACAGAAACAAGGAGGCGAUUACCACGGUAAGUUCAUGACUGGGUGAGAAUCAUCAGCAAGGUAA
rnacentral:rRNA from 1 species